GCAACAAGAGAAGCAUUCUUAAACCUGUAGAAAAGAAGAGUCAGCACUAGCUUUCACAUCUGAACCUAAAAUAUCCUAAACAAUCCUCCUGCCCAUGUCUGAAAGAAAGAAAAAGAUUUGGAAAAGAGAGAAGGUUCAGUCCUAGGCUACCCGCGUGCAUGUGUCCUUGAGCCAAGCAACUUGGGGAAAUAGCUAAGCUUGUGAUACCCUGAGAAAUUUCACCAAGGAGAGCUGAUUGCUCACAAGGGACUCCAACAAGAGGAUGACAAAGAAUGAUAACAAGAAUGAAAUCUUACUGGAGCCAGAUCUGCAAACCAUAUACAAAGGAUGCAUCUGAGAACGUCUCAAGAGCUGCGAUUCCAAGAGUAACGUGGGAUCAACCGCACAGGAGCCGGCCACACACACUGAGCACAGCAUUGCCAGCUUCUUUAACUUGAUCCCAGGACUCUUCCUUUAUCUUACCAUAUUUCUCUUCACGCAUCAUCUCCACACAUGGCUUUCCCCUGAGUCCUUAAAGAAUCUGUGAAAAGUUUACUCCGUUCCCACCCUGUCGAACCUACCUGUGCCGGGAGCAGUCUACAGGAG